rnacentral:SRP_RNA from 1 species
GCCGGGCAUGGUGGCUCAUGCCUGUAAUCCCAGUACUUUGGGAGGCUGAGGCAGGCGGAUCACCUGAGGUCGGGAGUUCGAGACCAGCCUGACCAACAUGGAGAAACCCCGUCUCUA